AUGGAACACUCCUGGCUGCUGCAGGAGGAGGAAAUUCAGCUUCACAACAGGAAGAUAAAUCUGGAUUUCCCCGGAGGUCGACUCCUCCUGUGCGCACAAAUCCCCAGUGCUGGUGACUGGAGAGCUGAGUUCCCUUUGCUGGAUCAAACACCUCCCGGAAAAAGCCAGGAUCAAAGGAUGAAUGUUCUGGAAGCGGGGCUGGAGUGCAGGCACAAGAGGAGCCAGAGUGGAGUUUGCCCACGGGGAGGAGGCAGUGGCUGGCUGGGAGCUGCUGGUGGAUGUUGGGAACGGAUCAGAUUUAACUCCCUGAGGAAGUUCAAGCUCAUUUUGAGGAGCACACUGGGAUUCCAGGCUGGAGCUGUGCCCAAGGCCCCUCAGCCUCCCCCCAGCCCCACCCCAUGCCCUGGAGAGGGUUUUCAGGACCAGGGGGCAUUUCCAUCUGCUGUGAGUCAGCAGCUGCUCUAGGAACAGCCAGUGAUCUGUUCUUGGUCACAAGGGGUGGCUUAAGGAGACUGCUCCUGUUCCUUUGUUCCAUCCACUCUGCUCUUCCCAAAACACGAUUUCCUCUGGGCUGCUCUGAAAUUGGAUUUCAAUUGACCAACAGCUCCAGGAGUUACAGAGUCAGGGAAUGGGUUUGUUUUGUUUUGGGGGUUUUUUUGGUUUUUUUUGGAAGGUGUCAGAACCCAGGAAAUUCCUCUGGAGGGCUCAAGCCCCUGCCCAGGGGGCUCAGAGACCUUGGCACAGAGCCCAGGACCCUGUGCCUUUGAUUGAGCCCGUGGAAAAAACAAUUACCAACCUUUACAUGAAGGAUUACAAGCCACAAAAGUUUAAGUAGAAUGACAGUGAAUUUAUCACGGGGUGAAGAGUGGAUUUUUUGGGCUUUUUGGAAUGGGGGUUCAGGGGGCAAGGUGGAGGAAUCUGGGCAUGUCCUGCCUUUCUCCUUCUUCUUCUUGGCCUCCAUCUUCUGGGUGGUGUUGGCACUUUUAGAUUGGUUUAGAGCAGGAGCUCACUGUCUAACACAGGUGAUGGGGAUUGGGAAGUAAUUGUAAACAUUGCACACGUAGUUUUUAGUAUAAAGCCAUGACACUGCCCCAGGGGCAGGCAGAGUGCCUCUGACUGUCUUGCUGAGUGACCUUGGCUGGUCAGGAGAAAGAAUUUCAUAGAGAAGAAACAAUAAUCAACCUUGAGAACGAGAAAUGAAGAGCCCUGACUCCUUCUUCCACCACCAAAAAGAGACUUUCUAACCCAUCUCGGGGUCACUCUGAGCAGGGAGAGCCCCGAGAGGAAGGGACCCUAAAGCUCUUCCAGUUCCACCUCUGUCAUGAUUUUAAAAUUCACAGACUGGUUUGGGCUGGGGGGACCUCACAGCCCACCCAGUGCCACCCCUGCCGCGGCUGGGACACCUCCCACUGUCCCAGGCUGCUCCAACCUGGGAUGUUCCAGGGAUUUGGGAAAUUCCCACCUCUCUGGGCAGCCCUAAGGAGACAGAACUGAAACCACAAAACCUGGGAGUUCCUGAGGGACUGGUGGGGGUCCUGCACUCCUGAUCCCCAGGGGGAAUCUCCAUGUCCCUCCUGCUGGGAGAGGCAGGGCUUGCAGCAGCAUUUCUGAGGUUUGUGCUCAUUCCCAGUUUUCCCAGCACAGCAGUCCCUGUCUCCCUCAGAACCACAGCCAGCACCAGGAGCUUCUGUGGCAUCUUCGGGGUCCCUGACGAAGGGAGGCAAUGAUGAAUCUGACUCCAUGUUCUCAGAAGGCUAAUUUAUUAUUUUAUUAAAGAAUGCUGUACUAAAGGAUAGAGAAAGGAUACAGACAGAAGGCUCAGCAAGGCACUAAUGGAAAACUUGUGGCUCUUUCCCCAGCCUGGACACAGCUGGCUGUGACUGGUCAUGCAGUUAAAACAAUUCACGUGAAACCAAUCAAACAAUGGCCAAACCACAUUCCAAAGCAGCAAAACACAGGAGAAGCAAUCAGUUAAUUAUUGUUUUCCUUUUUCUCUGAGGCCUCUCAGCUUCCCAGGAGAAGAAUCCUGGUGAAGGGAUUUCUCAGAAAAUGUGAUGGUGACGAGUUUCUGCUCCCUCCCUGCUCUGUUUUUGCUCUGUUUUGUUCCUCCUGACAGUGUUUGGUAGCUCUUGUGUUGGUCUUUGGGUAUCAAGCUUUAGUGCUGAGGGUUUUUUAUUCCCAAGCACUUGCUGGGAAUAAAGACACACUUCCUAUCUGCUGGGUGUGCCCU
ensembl:lncRNA